rnacentral:miRNA from 1 species
CUAUCCUCCCUGCUUC